UCUUAUGGAUGAGCAAAGACAGUGGCUUCUUGAGACGGAAUCCACUCCUGGUGAAGAUGCUGUGAA
rnacentral:pre_miRNA from 1 species